AGAGUUUGAUCCUGGCUCAGAACGAACGCUGGCGGCAGGCUUAACACAUGCAAGUCGAACGCUCGUAGCAAUACGGGAGUGGCAGACGGGUGAGUAACGCGUGGGAACAUACCCUUUGGUUCGGAAUAACUGAGAGAAAUUUCAGCUAAUACCGGAUGUGCCCUUCGGGGGAAAGAUUUAUCGCCAAAGGAUUGGCCCGCGUCUGAUUAGCUAGUUGGUGAGGUAACGGCCCACCAAGGCGACGAUCAGUAGCUGGUCUGAGAGGAUGAUCAGCCACACUGGGACUGAGACACGGCCCAGACUCCUACGGGAGGCAGCAGUGGGGAAUAUUGGACAAUGGGGGCAACCCUGAUCCAGCCAUGCCGCGUGAGUGAUGAAGGCCUUAGGGUUGUAAAGCUCUUUCGUCAGGGAAGAUAAUGACGG
rnacentral:rRNA from 1 species